rnacentral:tRNA from 1 species
AAAAUCCGUCGAUUUUAGAAAUCGUGAGGGUUCAAGUCCCUCUAUCCCCCCAAAAAGCCCGAUUUGACUAUUUUUCCUACCCUCUCUUUUUUUUAGUGGUUCAAAAUCCGUUCUCUUUCUCAUUCAUUCUACCUUUUUACAAACGUAUCAGAGCAGAAUUUUUUUUUCUUUUAUCACAAGCGGUGUGGUAUAUAUGAUAUACGUACAAAUGAACAUAAAGAAUCCCGAUUCACAAUUCAUAUCAUUGCUCAGACUGAAACUUAUAAAUUAUUCUAUUCAAGAAAUCUAAUUCCACGCUCAAGACUUUUAAUACUUUUUUAUCUUUUUUAAUUGACAUAGACCCCAGUCAUCUAGUAAAAUGAGGAUGAUGCGCCGGUAAUGGUCGGGAUAGCUCAGCUGGUAGAGCAGAGGACUGAAAAUCCUCGUGUCACCAGUUCAAUAU